UUUUUCAGUGAUAAAAAUGUCAGUGUUGAUUAGAGUUGAUUCUGGAGUUGAUUUGCCAAACAUGUACACUUGGAGUGUAAAAGUAACUCUGGUACGAGUGUUACAAUCGCGUGUUAAUAAAAUAUACUCUGGUGUAGAGUUGUUUACUUCAUCCGGGGUAUUGAUGAAGCUUGCGAGGAGAAAGACAGAUGGACGCCAUUACAUUUUCCAAUAUCGCGGGGAAAGAACACACAAUGUUCCUAAAAGAAGAGCAUUGAACUGCAGCCUCCUCCAUGCACUUUUGAGUUUGUCAUGGAAGAAGGUCAGAUUUCUUUUUUUCAAAGGAUCAACGGAUUUGAAGUUAUUUGAGGAAUCUGACACAGCUAUUGGUGAGGACGUUUUCCAUUACCUCAUCACAGAUAACCUACACAUCUGCCUGGUGGCAAAACCUUUUGAUGACAACGUGUUUCCCUGGAGUCCCACCCAGCCCGCUGAAGCAGCCUUCCCAGCCCAGCCUUCCCAGCCCAGGCUUCCCUUCCCAGGCUCAUCAGUCCGAUGGUGCAGAGAUGGAUAAAAGGCCAAAGGAGGAUUCCGGUUGUUCUGGAGAACAGUGCAGGAGGACAGGAAAUAAUGGAGGAGGAGUAUAGGAGAUCCAGCACCUGCACUCAUGGCACGUUUUGAAGAGGCAGCGAAGGACACGAAGGACACACAGGAUCGCCAGCCAUACCUCCUUGCACUUCCAGGGUCCCAUGUGAAGCCCAUCAAUUGGCGAUGGAUUGAUACUGGCACACAGUAGGGCCAGUUACGCUGGUGGGCCUGCCCUGGGCUGGGCUGGACCUAAAGGUACUAACGGUGUUUUCACCGACAGGUGGUUAGAUGCGAAAGGGGGCUGGUGGCCCAGGUUUCGGGGCGUAGGGCCAGUAUUCCUGGCCCUUCAAAGUCUAUGGGCCAUCAAGGGCCGGAGGGCCAGAGGCGGGGUUUACAUCAUGGUGGGAUCUUAUUUGUCCUAGCGAAAUGCGAAAACAAUGCGGCGACACAGCUUUUUGAUCUGCAGAAACAAAUUAGUUAAACUUCAAUUGGCUUACAUUUUUUCUGUGGCCCAAUAGCCGACAUCGUUUUAUUUGUUAUCGUUUCAUAUUUUCCCCUAUUGCUGCUGGUUGUUCAGUGAGCCUCCCUUAUGUUUCUCCCUGGUGUCCGCAAGUCGGGAAUAAUCUUAUCCCUGAUUUAUUUGAAAUUCUAGUAAGAGCGUGCAUGCACCUCGUGCAUCAUAGAAUGCUUCGAUUAGAUUACGCAGGUAUACAAGAGAGAGAAGGAGUUAUGUGUUUUGCAUUACAAAAUGCAUAUGGGCCGGAUGAACGUAAUUAAUAUCUUGUACCUGUCUUUUGUUUGAUUGGUGUAAAAAAUAUGGAUAUGAGAUAUUGAUUGAUUGUCUUUUGUUUUAUUUGAGAAAAAUAUUGAUAUGAAAUGUUCAUUGAUUGUACCCAUCUUGUUCAAUUUGAGAAUAAAAUAUUGACAUGAGAUAUUUAUUGAUUGAUAAAGAAAAAUAAAAACAAAUAAAAUGUGAAA